CUUGGAUAAAUUAUUCAUAGAUUAAAUCAUUUAUAGAUAAUUUGUGCCAAAUGUCUUCCAAAUUUGAAGAUAAUUUCUGGAACGGGAAUUGGAGACAUGUAGAGAUUUUUUGCUAUCCAAUAAAGAACCAACCACUUAUUGUUGAAGAAUUGAUCAAUUAUUGCCGAGAAUGCUCUAUGAAUAUUGAUUCCAUGAUAAAAAAUUAUUCGAAAAGAUCUGCGACUUUGAGAAGCUGUGACUUUAUUAG